rnacentral:rRNA from 1 species
UACGGAGGAUCCAAGCGUUAUCCGGAUUUAUUGGGUUUAAAGGGUGCGUAGGCGGUUUUAUAAGUUAGAGGUGAAAAUUCGGGGCUCAACUCCGGACGUGCCUCUAAUACUGUAUGACUAGAGAAUAGAUGCGGUAGGCGGAAUGUAUGGUGUAGCGGUGAAAUGCGUAGAGAUCAUACAGAACACCGAUUGCGAAGGCAGCUUACCAAACUAUAUCUGACGUUGAGGCACGAAAGCGUGGGUAGCAAACAGG